AGUCGCUGAAGCAAGAGGAAAACCCUAAGAUCCUUGUUAACAGCUUCCAAGAGCUUGAACAAGAAGCUCUAACCUCGGUUCUUGAUAACUUCAAGAUUGUCCCUAUCGGUCCGUUGAUAACCUCGAAGACCAACUCCGAGACUAACGCUGAGUACGUCGAGUGGUUGGAUACAAAAGCAGAUUCUUCCGUGCUUUAUAUCUCGUUUGGGACGCUUGCCGUGUUGAGCAAGAAACAGCUUGUGGAGCUCUGCAAGGCGUUGAUAGAGAGUCGGAGGCCGUUUCUGUGGGUGAUUACGGAUAAGUCGUACAGAAGAAGUAAAGAAGAUGUGGAAGAGAAAGAAGAAGAGAGCGUCGUAUGCUCUCCAAAGAAACCGUCCUCGAAAACCUUACCUUCGCCACUUACUCCGAUGGCCAUGACGACGGCUUCAGACCCUCUACAUCCUCCGAUAAAUCUCGCCAACAUAGCUCCCGACAGUACCUGUCCGAAAUGAGACAGCGUGGGAGAGAAACCCUAACCGAACUAAUCGAAGAUAACCGGCGUCAAAACCGGCCUUUUACCUGCGUGGUUUACACCAUCCUCCUCACUUGGGUCGCUGAGCUGGCGCGUGAGUUUCAGAUCCCUUCUGCUCUUCUCUGGGUCCAGCCCGUUACGGUCUUCUCCAUCUUCUACCACUACUUCAACGGCUACGCCGAUACAAUCUCAGAGAUGGCUGAUAACAACCCUUCUGGUACUAUUAAGCUUCCCUCUCUGCCACUGCUCCGUCUCCGUGAUCUUCCCUCCUUCAUCGUCCCUACAAACGCAUAUGCGUUUGUUCUACCGGCGUUUCGAGAACAGAUAGAGUCGCUGAAGCAAGAGGAAAACCCUAAGAUCCUUGUUAACAGCUUCCAAGAGCUUGAACAAGAAGCUCUAACCUCGGUUCUUGAUAACUUCAAGAUUGUCCCUAUCGGUCCGUUGAUAACCUCGAAGACCAACUCCGAGACUAACGCUGAGUACGUCGAGUGGUUGGAUACAAAAGCAGAUUCUUCCGUGCUUUAUAUCUCGUUUGGGACGCUUGCCGUGUUGAGCAAGAAACAGCUUGUGGAGCUCUGCAAGGCG
rnacentral:lncRNA from 1 species